rnacentral:misc_RNA from 1 species
CAAAGUUGUCGAAUAUAGAACGACAAAAAAUCCACAGUGAACCGCGCAACAGCAAAAAGAAAGCAGAAAAAAAGAAUCGCGAUGAACAAGCAGCGCAUCCGGGGCGAAUCCUUUAAACAGGAGUACCAGGCAGCUGGUCGCCACCGCACCAAUCGCAAGCGCGACCCGUCGAUGAACAAGACCGAUCCUCAUCUCGUUAUUGCACCUCAAGCUGAGAUAUACCAGGGGAAACUGGUUCUAGUUCUUGAUCUUGAUGAGACGCUGGUGUUCGCUCGUAGCGGACCUCUUUAUGCUCGACCUGGGAUUCCUGAGUUCUUUCAGAUGUGCAAGGACAAAGGUAUCGAGGUUGUUGUGUGGACGGCUGGGUUGAAGGCCUAUGCGCAAGCUAUUGUGUCGAAUAUCGACACAUGUAAUGCUGUCUCACACUGUAUAUACCGUCACAACAAGUGGUUCAACGGCCAGCCGGGCUAUCGCAAGGAUCUGAAUGCUCUUGGUCGUCCUCUCGACCGCGUUCUCAUAGUCGAAAACACUCCGGAUUGUAUUCGAGGCUAUCAAGACAACGGCAUCCUUGUCAGCGAUUACGAGGGUGGCGACGGAGAGGACAACACACUGUAUGCGCUAGCAGAGCUGGUGAAAGUUCUCAGUGAAAGCGAUUUUACUGUUCCGCAGUUUAUCGCGAACUGCGAAUUGCUGAAGCGUGAGCCUGUAAUGACGGACGUUGGGGACUACAUUAAUGCAUACACGCUUGAUACCAACUGCUUUGAUCCUGCGCAUGUUCGUGUUAACCGAGAUUUGCAAAGGUAGACUGGCUGGCACAGUGUUGUUUCUACUGCUUCAUCUUUCGUCGAAGAUGCAGACAUUGGCUCACACUCGAAAUCUACACUCAAGCAUAUUUUUCUGUAUUAUUUUUUUUAUCUAUUUGCUUGUUUUUGAAAGACUUUGCCCAUGUUGUAUGGCGAUGGUGCGAACGUCAACGUGAUGUUGCCUCGCUUCUGCAGCUUUUUUUUUGUUGCUGUUGUCGAUGAGGAAUGUUUUUGUCUGCCAAAGGAAAAAUGAUAUCCUUUUCCAUCUCAUCAGUCAAGCCAUUUAACCCGGGUCCUCUUGCUGCUACUCCCGGUGUCUCUUUUUUUUUUCGCGCGCAGUACAUACUCUUGUUCGGGAGGCCAGUUCAAUGAGGAAAAGGAAAGCGCAGUUACACGAACAAUUCAGUGGCACUUCCACAUUAUUGUAUCAGUCCAUUUUUGAGGGAAAGCCAACAAGUAGCCUUUUUGUGUUACGUUUGCUGAGUGCGUUGUCUUUUAAUGCGAACUGCUGUCUUCAUAUUCUGCUGUUUUGCUCGUUAUUUGUGUCAUCAGCAGCGAGAGUGACGGUGUUAGGGAUGGGUAAGCGGAAGCGCUUCGCGGGGUGAAGUGCUGUGAACUGCACAUAAGCGUGCUACCGUUUUGUCGAAUCAACGCUUCCUGUUGAAAAGAGUUUGAUGGAGGAUCUGUGGUAUUUUGCAAAGAGAAAAACGAUUCAACUGUGUUUACACAAUUGUUUCUAUUACUUUUUGCUUAACGUUUCGUUUGGUGUAGCCUGUUUGUUGUCAUUCGCGUAAGCUGCUUUUUAGGUGAGGAUAGGGGCUGACCUCCUGUUGUGUGUACAUGUGCCUGGGACAUGAUAGAUCGACAAGAAAUCAGAGCAUGCCCGACGCCGGUUUUAUUCGUCAUUAUUGCCAUCUCUGAAAAAAAAAGGCUGUCUUCCACGGUGUGCUUUUUUUUUUCGUAUGCGCAUGCGCCAUGUAUCAAAUUGUGAAUUUGAUGUCAAUGCUUUUUUUUUUUUCAUAACUGAUCUUUAUCUCGGGUCGAUUAAAGAGUCAUCUCUAGGGUAGUUUGGACUCUGCACCCUUGUGCUGCGUGUAGUCUGGCGGAACAACAAAAAAAGAUUC